CCUACGGGUGGCAGCAGUGGGGAAUAUUGCGCAAUGGGCGAAAGCCUGACGCAGCGACGCCGCGUGCGGGAUGAAGGUCCUCGGAUCGUAAACCUCUGUUAGCAGGGAAGAACGGUCACUGUGCUAAUCAGCAGUGAAUUGACGGUACCUGCAAAGGAAGCAUCGGCUAACUCCGUGCCAGCAGCCGCGGUAAUACGGUGGGUGCGAGCGUUAAUCGGAAUUACUGGGCGUAAAGCGCUCGUAGGCGGUAUGUCAAGUCAAGGGUGAAAUCCCCGCGCUCAACGUGGGAACUGCCUUUGAAACUGGCGAGCUGGAGUGUGGGAGAGGAUGGUGGAAUGCCAGGUGUAGCAGUGAAAUCCGUAGAUAUCUGGAGGAACAUCAGUGGCGAAGGCGACUAUCUGGCACAUAACUGACGCUGAGGAGCGAAAGCGUGGGGAGCAAACAGGAUUAGAUACCCUUGUAGUC
rnacentral:rRNA from 1 species